GCUUGUCUCAAAGAUUAAGCCAUGCAUGUCUAAGUAUAAACUAAUUUAUACAGUGAAACUGCGAAUGGCUCAUUAAAUCAGUUAUAGUUUAUUUGAUAGUGACCUUACUACUUGGAUAUCCGUGGUAAUUCUAGAGCUAAUACAUGCAUUAAAGCCCCGACUUCUGGAAGGGGUGUAUUUAUUAGAUGGAAACCAAUGCGGGGUAACCCGGAAUAUGGUGAUUCAUAAUAACUUUCGGAUCGAUUUAUCGAUGCAUCAUUCAAGUUUCUGCCCUAUCAGCUUUGGAUGGUAGGGUAUUGGCCUACCAUGGCUUUAACGGGUAACGGAGAAUUAGGGUUCGAUUCCGGAGAGGGAGCCUGAGAAAUGGCUACCACAUCCAAGGAAGGCAGCAGG
rnacentral:rRNA from 1 species